rnacentral:rRNA from 1 species
UACGUAGGUGGCAAGCGUUGUCCGGAAUUAUUGGGCGUAAAGCGCGCGCAGGCGGCCUUUUAAGUCUGAUGUGAAAGCCCACGGCUCAACCGUGGAAGGUCAUUGGAAACUGAAGGGCUUGAGUACAGAAGAGGAAAGCGGAAUUCCACGUGUAGCGGUGAAAUGCGUAGAGAUGUGGAGGAACACCAGUGGCGAAGGCGGCUUCUGGACCAGCACUGACACUGAGGCACGAAAGCGUGGGGAGCAAACAGG